CAGGAGUGAAACAUCUGUGUGGUUUUCUGGAGAGUCCAGACUGUAGACUGGAGACUCUGGGAUUGAUUCACUGCAGUUUAUCAGAGAUCAGUUGUGAUUCUCUGGUCUCAGCUCUGAAGUCCAACCCCUCCCAUCUGAAACAUCUGGACCUGAG